CUCCCUUCUAUUUCACCCGCGAAGAGCCACCGCCUACCCCGCAUUUUCUUCUCCCCCGAUUUAACCGGUUCUCUUCUCCCCACGACUGCAGCCCCGAUUACAGCGAUCGCGACGGUGGAUCGGGGGAGGCCGCCCCACCGGCUGAGCUCCUAUCCACGCCAACAUCCUACCCCGCGAGAAGCCGGCCCUCUUCUCCCCCCAAUUGCAGCGACCGGCUACGGAAGAUUGGAGGAGGCCGCCCCACCGCAGCACCGCCGAACAUAGAUCUGCCGCAUCAACCCGCCUUGCGAGCACCCGGCUCUCUUCUCCCCUGCGAUCGGCGACGUCUCUCUGUGAUUUCCUCAUCCCGCCACCCCUUGAUGUUCAAUGGUUCCACUAUAUCCUGCUUCACACUUACAGAAUGAAAACCGAUGGUGAGAAUAUCAGAUUACUAAAAUCAUGCCACCAGUUCUGGAGACUGAGAGAGCAAGCAGGGCAUAUCUUGCGGAACGGAAAAUAAAGGGCGAGGCAUAUUUGAAAGAAAGGGGAGGAAGGAAAGGAGAUGAAGAGGAGGCCGCUCUUCCUAUGUCGAAAGCAAUGCAGGUACCUGAAGGUCUGGGAGCUCUUCUUCAUCAGUAGAAAUCCGAGUUCUAGAAGAAAGAAUUGAAUAGAAGGAUAGAGAGGCAAAACAUGCAAAUGCUAGGUACUUGCCUUGUUUCUCUUUGUGUUUUUGUUGUUCUGUUUGCCUCCUUUUGUGUGCACAGUGCACUCAUGAUAGUGAAAAAAACAAAUGUGUGUGAAUAAGACUUCAUCUUCAGUUCUUCUAUUGAAAGUUGCACUAAGGAGUGCUAUGUUGUUCAUGUAUGGGUUGAUCCAAAUCCAAUCGUCCAAACUAACAUAAAAAAUGUUGUAAUGACAAAUAUGGUUUGUUGCUGCUGCAACACGAAGGCAUGGGAAUAACAUUUUAGCUUUUUUAAUCCAGAUAUCAAUAUGUGUUUUUAGCAGAAUGAUGUAGGCUGGUAGAGUUUGAACUAAAAAAAUUUUGUUGUGCUAGCAUAGUUGCUUCAUGUAACUUGGGUUGCUGAAAUCUAGCACUUGGUUAUACUCCCUUCGUUUCUAUAUAUAAGUCUUUAUAGAAAUUUUAAUACGAACUACAUAUAUAUAUGUAUAUAAACAUAUUUUAGGGUGUAGAUUCACUCAUUUUGCUCUGUAUGUAGUCCGUAUUGGAGUCUCUAAAAAGACUUAUAUUUAGUAGAGGGAGUACAUGUUGAACCGUUAUGAGUUAUUCUUGCUUGCCUCACAUUUAAUAAUGAACUCAUAUUCAUAAUUUGACCGCUUGUAAGCUUCUUACUCGUACUCUUAGACCUUGUUAUCUUGUAUGUUUUUAUAUCAUUAAGAUGAAACACACUGUUGUGUUUCAUCAAUUUAUAGGCACAAGGACGAGUUACCUGUGAGACUUGAAGCACAAGACAUAGCAUUUGAAGAGAUGUAGAGGAAAGCAUCAAGAAGAAUUGGAAGUUGUGAAGAAGAGCCAACAAGAGAAGAAUGAAGCUUGGGAAAAGAAGCAACAUGAGACGGAUAACCUGAUUGGUAUUCUCUCAAGUGCUCAAGCAACUCAGCAAGCAAGUCAGCCCAAACUUGUGAUGGUGCAUGAAGGCCAUCCUUUUGUGAUAGAAAGAUAGUUGCUGAAUCAUACAUUGCAAUAAUUAGGACAACACAUGUGAUCUUUCAGUUAUGAAAAUAUUACUUUUUAUCUUGUCUAUUGUCGUGUCAAACUUGAGUCAGUGUUAUUUUUAUUAUCACUUCUACUUGGUGGAUGAUUUGGCUGAGACGAUUGAAUGUAUAAUAUGAUUUGUCUUUCAUUUCAA